rnacentral:misc_RNA from 1 species
AAGUCGUAACAAGGUUUCCGUAGGUGAACCUGCGGAAGGAUCAUUAUUGAAUACGAAUUGGUUCUGAUGCUGGCCCUUCACCGGGCAUGUGCUCGUUCCAAAUCUAUUUAUCUUCUCUUGUGCACCUUUUGUAGUCUUUGAAAAAAAGUGAACCUCUCGCAGCGAUGCGGUCUGGGAGGAUGGGCGCAAGCCCUUCUCCUGCUUGCUUUCUUUCAAGGCUAUGUUUUAAUAUACACUAUAAAGUUACAGAAUGUCUUUUAAAGAUUGUCGCGCGAGCGCAGUCAUUAAACCUAUACAACUUUCAGCAACGGAUCUCUUGGCUCUCC